rnacentral:rRNA from 1 species
AGAAUCAACGCUGGCGGCGUGCCUAACACAUGCAAGUCGCACGAGAAAUGGGACUUCGGUCCCUGAGUACAGUGGCGCACGGGUGAGUAACACGUGAAUCAUCUACCCUCCGAGUGGGGAAUAACCUAGGGAAACCUGGGCUAAUACCGCAUAACACUUACGAGUCAAAGCAGUAAUGCGCUUGGAGAGGAGUUCGCGGCAGAUUAGUAGUUGGCGGGUAAUGGCCACAAGACGAUGAUCUGUA